rnacentral:misc_RNA from 1 species
GGAUCGUAGUUUUUGAUCCAGGAUAGAAACGGCCUCGUCCUAUGAAGUUCUGAGCGUUGAUCGGCGAAACAUUGCCGUCGAAGGAAUGAACAUUGGAAGCUUGCAUAUUAUUACUGCUACCGAGAAAAAACUCCAUGAAGUUCUUCAAAUUCUUCUGCAAUCACAAAUUCAUAAGCGCAAAAACAACAAAAAUCUCUCUAAUU